rnacentral:rRNA from 1 species
AAAUUGAAGAGUUUGAUCAUGGCUCAGAUUGAACGCUGGCGGCAGGCCUAACACAUGCAAGUCGAACGGUAACAGGAAACAGCUUGCUGUUUCGCUGACGAGUGGCGGACGGGUGAGUAAUGUCUGGGAAACUGCCUGAUGGAGGGGGAUAACUACUGGAAACGGUAGCUAAUACCGCAUAAUGUCGCAAGACUAAAGAGGGGGACCUUCGGGCCUCUUGCCAUCGGAUGUGCCCAGAUGGGAUUAGCUAGUAGGUGGGGUAACGGCUCACCUAGGCGACGAUCCCUAGCUGGUCUGAGAGGAUGACCAGCCACACUGGAACUGAGACACGGUCCAGACUCCUACGGGAGGCAGCAGUGGGGAAUAUUGCACAAUGGGCGCAAGCCUGAUGCAGCCAUGCCGCGUGUAUGAAGAAGGCCUUCGGGUUGUAAAGUACUUUCAGCGGGGAGGAAGGGAGUAAAGUUAAUACCUUUACUCAUUGACGUUACCCGCAGAAGAAGCACCGGCUAACUCCGUGCCAGCAGCCGCGGUAAUACGGAGGGUGCAAGCGUUAAUCGGAAUUACUGGGCGUAAAGCGCACGCAGGCGGUUUGUUAAGUCAGAUGUGAAAUCCCCGGGCUCAACCUGGGAACUGCAUCUGAUACUGGCAAGCUUGAGUCUCGUAGAGGGGGGGUAGAAUUCCAGGUGUAGCGGUGAAAUGCGUAGAGAUCUGGAGGAAUACCGGUGGCGAAGGCGGCCCCCUGGACGAAGACUGACGCUCAGGUGCGAAAGCGUGGGGAGCAAACAGGAUUAGAUACCCUGGUAGUCCACGCCGUAAACGAUGUCGACUUGGAGGUUGUGCCCUUGAGGCGUGGCUUCCGGAGCUAACGCGUUAAGUCGACCGCCUGGGGAGUACGGCCGCAAGGUUAAAACUCAAAUGAAUUGACGGGGGCCCGCACAAGCGGUGGAGCAUGUGGUUUAAUUCGAUGCAACGCGAAGAACCUUACCUCUGGUCUUGACAUCCACAGAACUUUCCAGAGAUGGAUUGGUGCCUUCGGGAACUGUGAGACAGGUGCUGCAUGGCUGUCGUCAGCUCGUGUUGUGAAAUGUUGGGUUAAGUCCCGCAACGAGCGCAACCCUUAUCCUUUGUUGCCAGCGGUCCGGCCGGGAACUCAAAGGAGACUGCCAGUGAUAAACUGGAGGAAGGUGGGGAUGACGUCAAGUCAUCAUGGCCCUUACGACCAGGGCUACACACGUGCUACAAUGGCGCAUACAAAGAGAAGCGACCUCGCGAGAGCAAGCGGACCUCAUAAAGUGCGUCGUAGUCCGGAUUGGAGUCUGCAACUCGACUCCAUGAAGUCGGAAUCGCUAGUAAUCGUGGAUCAGAAUGCCACGGUGAAUACGUUCCCGGGCCUUGUACACACCGCCCGUCACACCAUGGGAGUGGGUUGCAAAAGAAGUAGGUAGCUUAACCUUCGGGAGGGCGCUUACCACUUUGUGAUUCAUGACUGGGGUGAAGUCGUAACAAGGUAACCGUAGGGGAACCUGCGGUUGGAUCACCUCCUUACCUUAAAGAAGC